AAAUUGAAGAGUUUGAUCAUGGCUCAGAUUGAACGCUGGCGGCAGGCCUAACACAUGCAAGUCGAGCGGUAGCACAGAGAGCUUGCUCUCGGGUGACGAGCGGCGGACGGGUGAGUAAUGUCUGGGAAACUGCCUGAUGGAGGGGGAUAACUACUGGAAACGGUAGCUAAUACCGCAUAAUGUCGCAAGACCAAAGUGGGGGACCUUCGGGCCUCAUGCCAUCAGAUGUGCCCAGAUGGGAUUAGCUAGUAGGUGGGGUAACGGCUCACCUAGGCGACGAUCCCUAGCUGGUCUGAGAGGAUGACCAGCCACACUGGAACUGAGACACGGUCCAGACUCCUACGGGAGGCAGCAGUGGGGAAUAUUGCACAAUGGGCGCAAGCCUGAUGCAGCCAUGCCGCGUGUGUGAAGAAGGCCUUCGGGUUGUAAAGCACUUUCAGCGGGGAGGAAGGCGGUGAGGUUAAUAACCUCACCGAUUGACGUUACCCGCAGAAGAAGCACCGGCUAACUCCGUGCCAGCAGCCGCGGUAAUACGGAGGGUGCAAGCGUUAAUCGGAAUUACUGGGCGUAAAGCGCACGCAGGCGGUCUGUCAAGUCGGAUGUGAAAUCCCCGGGCUCAACCUGGGAACUGCAUUCGAAACUGGCAGGCUAGAGUCUUGUAGAGGGGGUAGAAUUCCAGGUGUAGCGGUGAAAUGCGUAGAGAUCUGGAGGAAUACCGGUGGCGAAGGCGGCCCCCUGGACAAAGACUGACGCUCAGGUGCGAAAGCGUGGGGAGCAAACAGGAUUAGAUACCCUGGUAGUCCACGCCGUAAACGAUGUCGAUUUGGAGGUUGUGCCCUUGAGGCGUGGCUUCCGGAGCUAACGCGUUAAAUCGACCGCCUGGGGAGUACGGCCGCAAGGUUAAAACUCAAAUGAAUUGACGGGGGCCCGCACAAGCGGUGGAGCAUGUGGUUUAAUUCGAUGCAACGCGAAGAACCUUACCUGGUCUUGACAUCCACAGAACUUUCCAGAGAUGGAUUGGUGCCUUCGGGAACUGUGAGACAGGUGCUGCAUGGCUGUCGUCAGCUCGUGUUGUGAAAUGUUGGGUUAAGUCCCGCAACGAGCGCAACCCUUAUCCUUUGUUGCCAGCGGUCCGGCCGGGAACUCAAAGGAGACUGCCAGUGAUAAACUGGAGGAAGGUGGGGAUGACGUCAAGUCAUCAUGGCCCUUACGACCAGGGCUACACACGUGCUACAAUGGCAUAUACAAAGAGAAGCGACCUCGCGAGAGCAAGCGGACCUCAUAAAGUAUGUCGUAGUCCGGAUUGGAGUCUGCAACUCGACUCCAUGAAGUCGGAAUCGCUAGUAAUCGUAGAUCAGAAUGCUACGGUGAAUACGUUCCCGGGCCUUGUACACACCGCCCGUCACACCAUGGGAGUGGGUUGCAAAAGAAGUAGGUAGCUUAACCUUCGGGAGGGCGCUUACCACUUUGUGAUUCAUGACUGGGGUGAAGUCGUAACAAGGUAACCGUAGGGGAACCUGCGGUUGGAUCACCUCCUUACCUUAAAGAA
rnacentral:rRNA from 1 species